UACGAAGGGGGCUAGCGUUGCUCGGAAUCACUGGGCGUAAAGCGCACGUAGGCGGCUUUCUAAGUCAGGGGUGAAAUCCUGGAGCUCAACUCCAGAACUGCCUUUGAUACUGGAGAGCUUGAGUCCGGGAGAGGUGAGUGAAACUCCGAGUGUAGAGGUGAAAUUCGUAGAUAUUCGGAAGAACACCAGUGGCGAAGGCGGCUCACUGGCCCGGUACUGACGCUGAGGUGCGAAAGCGUGGGGAGCAAACAGG
rnacentral:rRNA from 1 species